GCUAGGUCAAAUAACUUACGAAGAAACCAAGUGUACAUGUUAUCAUAGACAAAAAAGCAGCGGACAUUUGCCUGGAGAUAUCAGAGCAAAGAUGGACCCUUACAUGGUGCCAGACGAAUUCAUAAAGACCCCACCUAAAGACCACUUGAUACAAGCGUUGUAUGUAAAACACGUGGAAAUUCGCGGAAGAUGGGUCCAGGGACCAAUGAGAUAUGACAAAGUCGAGGGAGGGAACCUUAUACUAGACUACCUCAUAUCAGCGAAGGGACCACAGGUAGUUGAUACGUUGAUGACAGUGACCUUCAAGGACUUGAGACAGCGAAGAGAAUG